rnacentral:rRNA from 1 species
UGGGGAAUAUUGCACAAUGGGCGAAAGCCUGAUGCAGCGACGCCGCGUGAGGGAUGACGGCCUUCGGGUUGUAAACCUCUUUCAGUAGGGACGAAGCGCAAGUGACGGUACCUGCAGAAGAAGCACCGGCUAACUACGUGCCAGCAGCCGCGGUAAUACGUAGGGUGCGAGCGUUGUCCGGAAUUACUGGGCGUAAAGAGCUCGUAGGCGGUUUGUCACGUCGUCUGUGAAAUCCUAGGGCUUAACCCUGGACGUGCAGGCGAUACGGGCUGACUUGAGUACUACAGGGGAGACUGGAAUUUCUGGUGUAGCGGUGGAAUGCACAAAUAUCAGGAAGAACACCGAUGGCGAAGGCAGGUCUCUGGGUAGUAACUGACGCUGAGGAGCGAAAGCAUGGGUAGCGAACAGG